AGAGUUUGAUCCUGGCUCAGAACGAACGCUGGCGGCGUGCCUAACACAUGCAAGUCGGACGGAGUCAUUUUGAAGUAGCAAUACGGAUAGAUGACUUAGUGGCGGACGGGUGAGUAACACGUAGGUAACCUACCCUUAAGCUGGGGACAACUCAGGGAAACUUGAGCUAAUACCCGAUAAGACCACGAACUGAGAUGUUAGUGGUAAAAGGAGCGAUUCACUUAGGGAUGGGCCUGCGGCCUAUCAGGUAGUUGGUGAGGUAAUGGCUCACCAAGCCUAAGACGGGUAGCCGGGCUGAGAGGUCGGACGGCCACACUGGAACUGAGAUACGGUCCAGACUCCUACGGGAGGCAGCAGUGGGGAAUAUUGCGCAAUAGGGGAAACCCUGACGCAGCGACGCCGCGUGGAGGAUGAAGGUCUUCGGGUUGUAAACUCCUUUUCUCAGGGAAAAUGAUGAUGGUACCUGAGGAAUAAGCCACGGCUAACUCUGUGCCAGCAGCCGCGGUAAA
rnacentral:rRNA from 1 species